GCCGCUUUCGUCUAGUGGUUAGGACACGAGCUUCUCAAGUUCGGGACAUGAGUUCGAUUCUCGUAAGCGGCGCAA
rnacentral:tRNA from 1 species